rnacentral:rRNA from 1 species
UGGCGACCGGCGCACGGGUGAGUAACACGUAUCCAACCUGCCGAUAACUCGGGGAUAGCCUUUCGAAAGAAAGAUUGAUAUCCGAUAGGAUAUCAAGGUCGCAUGAUCUUGAUAUUAAAGAAUUUCGGUUAUCGAUGGGGAUGCGUUCCAUUAGUUAGUUGGCGGGGUAACGGCCCACCAAGACGACGAUGGAUAGGGGUUCUGAGAGGAAGGUCCCCCACAUUGGAACUGAGACACGGUCCAAACUCCUACGGAAGGCAGCAG